CAGCUUCCUUUGGGCGUCUGCGGCCGCGGAAGCUCCAGACAGUAAGAACCUUUACGUUGAAGCAGGAGCAAUGCUGCUCUUCUGUCCGAGCUGCGGAAACGGACUGAUUGUGGAGGAAGGACAGCGUUGCCAUCGCUUCGCCUGCAACACUUGCCCCUACGUGCAUAAUAUCACACGCAAGGUAACAAACCGAAAGUAUCCAAAACUGAAAGAAGUGGAUGAUGUGCUUGGUGGAGCAGCUGCCUGGGAGAACGUGGACUCUACUGCAGAGCCAUGUCCCAAAUGUGAACAUCCGCGUGCCUAUUUCAUGCAGCUUCAGACCCGUUCUGCAGAUGAGCCAAUGACCACCUUCUACAAGUGCUGCAAUGCUCAGUGUGGACAUCGCUGGAGAGACUAGGGGCAGGGCUUCCCAGCUGCAGCCCUGACUUUGUGUGCUGAAGGUCUUUGCUGUGUGAUAGGAAGCUAACUCUUCUGUGGUGGAGGACGAGGGUGAAACAGGUCCUCUGCAGGGCUGCCACAUCAAGGGUGAUCUUGUAAAAUUUGACUUCUUAAUUGGGAUGGACAUUAACAUACCUGGACCACACGUGCAGCAGGUUUUGUAAGAAAUUGCUUCCUGGGAGUAGGAAUCACUAUGCUUAAUCCUUAUAUAAAUUAAAGGUGAGUGGAGUCUUACCCUUAGGGCACCUUGAUAGGUUUCCAUUCCAGAGCAACAAGGUCAGAGUUGCAGGUGUCCAAACCAAGGUUGCUAACACAAAACACCUAAGAAAAGCUUGCCAAUUCUUCACGUGCUAAGUCUAGCUGGAAAUAGACACCCACGUCUCAAAGUUUGUCACUGUGCACUGUGUCCCUGCUUUCUCUGAUCACAGCCUUACUCCUAAGACCUUGUUGCCAUGGUCAUUGGCUCAAUUCCUUAUCACUUACUCUAAGAAUGUGCUUUUGACCAAUGAGACGUAACUUUUUCUUUAGCUUCAAACCUCCUGAAGGAGAAGAAAUCUCAGGCGAGAGGAGAAGAAGCUAGGAGGUAUUAGAAUUAGGAAAUAAUUGGAAUAGAGGCAGAAGAAUAGAGACAUGUUUGGAACAGCAUGUUAUCCCUCAGAUAUUUUAAGUCCUUUCGCUUGCUGUAGCAUUUCAUCUGAACCCUGA